GUUUUGCUGAUAGUGAUGUGUUUGUAGAUCUUACUUUACUGAACAUUCUUGGUACUUAGAAUUUUCUCUAUCUAUAAUAAACUUGGACCUUUAGAUACAGUGAAAAAUAUUUUGUAAAAAUUUACAAAAAUUUACCAAAUUAGUGAAAAUUGUUAAAAAUUGAAUAAAAUGGGCAACAACUCCUUAAGGGGUCAACUGACGAUUUUGGUCAUGUUGACUUAUUUCUAGAUCUUACUUAGCUGAACAUUAUUGCUCUUUACAAGUUAUCUCUAUCUACAACAAUAUUCAAGAUAAUAACCAAAAGCAGCAAAAUUUCCUUAAAAUUACUAAUUCAGGGGCAGC
rnacentral:lncRNA from 1 species